ensembl:lncRNA
AUAACCUUUGAAGGUCCCUCUGGUUUUUCCAUUCCAGCUGUUUUUGGACUUUGCCUUGGAGCAACUUUAACGAGGUCGUCUUUCCUUUUCCCGAACAAGCGUGCAAUUGCAGCAAGGUUCACUCUUUGGCGUUACACAACCUUCAGGAGAUUUGUUUUAAGCCGUGUCGUGCGCAAAUAUCGCAGCGAUGAUCAUCAGACUCGGCAGACUGACUCCUGGAUACUUCCGUCUCCUGCAGGUGUGUAUUUGAUCAAAUCUUUUAACUUGGUUCAAUCUGUGAAUAAUAAUAACUUUUAAAAGUUUUUCUUUUUUUUUUUUAUCGAUCAUAUGAUGAGGAACCAAAUUUUCCUCAAUCUUUGGAGAUAAAAGCAUUUAUUGUACUAUGACAGCAUAUUGUAGCUUUCAGAACACAACUUCCUUCCAAGUGAAAAACGGCAUUUUUUUUUUUUUUUUUUUUUUAACUAAGUUUCAACAAUAGCCGGGUUUCCAACCCGAACAAGCACCAUUUCCAUCCAACGAGUCAAAGAGAACAAAAUCAUCACUUCCUGAUAAACUGCCACUAUACAUCACUAAGAAAAGUAGGAGAAGCUACUGAAAAUAAUAAUUUUCCUAUAUAAUAAAUGACUUGCACCUCAGAACGAGCA